rnacentral:rRNA from 1 species
UCGUAACAAGGUCUCCGUAGGUGAACCUGCGGAGGGAUCAUUACAAAUUUAGUGGGGCGUCGGCUUCGGCCGGCGCGUCGCGUCAACCUUUGUGAACCAUCUCUGUUGCCUCGGGGGCGACCCUGCCGUUUCGGCGGUGGGGGCUCCCGGUGGCCCUCUUCAAACACUGCGUUUAUUUGCGUCGGAGUUUAAACAAAUCAAUCAAAACUUUCAACAACGGAUCUCUUGGUUCUGGCAUCGAUGAAGAACGCAGCGAAAUGCGAUAAGUAAUGUGAAUUGCAGAAUUCAGUGAAUCAUCGAAUCUUUGAACGCACAUUGCGCCCUUUGGUAUUCCGAAGGGCAUGCCUGUUCGAGCGUCAUUUCACCACUCAAGCCUGGCUUGGUAUUGGGCGUCGCGGGUCACCGCGCGCCUUAAAGUCUUUCCGGCUGAGCGACCCGUCUCUAAGCGUUGUGGCAACUAUUCGCGGUGAGAUUGGGUGGCGACGGCCGUUAAAUCUUUCUUAAGGUUGACCUCGGAUCAGGUAGGGAUACCCGCUGAACUUAAGCAUAUCAAUAAGACGGAGG